rnacentral:rRNA from 1 species
GGUUAAGUGACUAAGCGUACACGGUGGAUGCCUUGGCAGUCAGAGGCGAUGAAAGACGUAGUAACUUGCGAUAAGCCCAGAUUAGGUAGUAACAACCAUUUGAGUCUGGGAUUUCUGAAUGGGGAAACCCACUUACAUAAGUAAGUAUCAUUAACUGAAUACAUAGGUUAAUGAGGCGAACCGGGGGAACUGAAACAUCUAAGUACCCCGAGGAAAAGAAAUCAACCGAGAUUCCGAAAGUAGCGGCGAGCGAAAUUGGACUAGCCCUUAAGCUUUACACGCGUUAGACGAACGGUCUGGAAAGUCCGACGAUACAGGGUGAUAGUCCCGUAGUUGACGACGUGUGUUCAGUGAAAUCGAGUAGGGCGGGACACGUGAUAUCCUGUCUGAAUAUGGGGGGACCAUCCUCCAAGGCUAAAUACUACUGACUGACCGAUAGUGAACCAGUACCGUGAGGGAAAGGCGAAAAGAACCCCUGUGAGGGGAGUGAAAUAGAACCUGAAACCGUGUACGUACAAGCAGUAGGAGCAGGCUUUGUCCUGUGACUGCGUACCUUUUGUAUAAUGGGUCAGCGACUUAUAUUCAGUGGCAAGGUUAACCAUCUAGGGGAGCCGUAGGGAAACCGAGUCUUAACUGGGCGUUCAGUCUCUGGAUAUAGACCCGAAACCAGGUGAUCUAGCCAUGGGCAGGUUGAAGGUUGAGUAACAUCAACUGGAGGACCGAACCGACUAAUGUUGAAAAAUUAGCGGAUGACUUGUGGCUAGGGGUGAAAGGCCAAUCAAACCUGGAGAUAGCUGGUUCUCCCCGAAAGCUAUUUAGGUAGCGCCUCGGACGAAUACUACUGGGGGUAGAGCACUGUUAAGGCUAGGGGGUCAUCCCGACUUACCAACCCUUUGCAAACUCCGAAUACCAGUAAGUACUAUCCGGGAGACACACGGCGGGUGCUAACGUCCGUCGUGGAGAGGGAAACAACCCAGACCGCCAGCUAAGGUCCCAAAUUACUACUAAGUGGGAAACGAUGUGGGAAGGCUCAGACAGCCAGGAUGUUGGCUUAGAAGCAGCCAUCAUUUAAAGAAAGCGUAAUAGCUCACUGGUCGAGUCGGCCUGCGCGGAAGAUGUAACGGGGCUAAGUAGUAAACCGAAGCUGCGGCAAUGUGCUUUUGCACAUUGGGUAGGGGAGCGUUCUGUAAGCGGUUGAAGGUGUGUGGUAACGCAUGCUGGACGUAUCAGAAGUGCGAAUGCUGACAUGAGUAACGAUAAAGGGGGUGAAAAACCUCCUCGCCGGAAGACCAAGGGUUCCUGUCCAACGUUAAUCGGGGCAGGGUAAGUCGACCCCUAAGGCGAGGCCGAAAGGCGUAGUCGAUGGGAAACGGGUUAAUAUUCCCGUACUUCUUACAAUUGCGAUGGGGGGACGGAGAAGGCUAGGUGGGCCUGGCGACGGUUGUC